rnacentral:rRNA from 1 species
GACGUAGGGCGCGAGCGUUGUCCGGAAUUAUUGGGCGUAAAGGGCUCGUAGGCGGUCCAUCGCGUCGGGAGUGAAAGCCCGGGGCUUAACCCCGGGUCUGCAUUCGAUACGGGCAGGCUAGAGUGUGGUAGGGGAGAUCGGAAUUCCUGGUGUAGCGGUGAAAUGCGCAGAUAUCAGGAGGAACACCGGUGGCGAAGGCGGAUCUCUGGGCCAUUACUGACGCUGAGGAGCGAAAGCGUGGGGAGCGAACAGG